CGGGGAGUAGCGCAGCCUGGUAGCGCAUCUGCUUUGGGAGCAGAGGGUCGGAGGUUCGAAUCCUCUCUCCCCGACCA
rnacentral:tRNA from 6 species